CUACGGGUCGCACCAGUGAGGAAUAUUGCGCAAUGGGGGAAACCCUGACGCAGCGACGCCGCGUGGAUGAUGAAGGCUUUCGGGUCGUAAAAUCCUGUCAGAUGGAAAGAAAUGUAAUCCUGCUAAUACCAUGAUUACUUGACGGUACCAUCAGAGGAAGCACCGGCUAGCUCCGUGCCAGCAGCCGCGGUAAUACGGAGGGUGCAAGCGUUGUUCGGAAUUACUGGGCGUAAAGCGCGCGUAGGCGGUUUGUUAAGUCAGAUGUGAAAGCCCAGGGCUCAACCCUGGACGUGCAUUUGAAACUGGCAGACUUGAGUAUUGGAGGGGGUGGUGGAAUUCCCGGUGUAGAGGUGAAAUUCGUAGAUAUCGGGAGGAAUACCGGUGGCGAAGGCGACCACCUGGCCAAAUACUGACGCUGAGGUGCGAAAGCGUGGGGAGCAAACAGGAUUAGAUACCCCUGUAGUC
rnacentral:rRNA from 1 species